GACGAACGCUGGCGGCGUGCUUAACACAUGCAAGUCGAACGGUAAGGCCCUUUCGGGGGUACACGAGUGGCGAACGGGUGAGUAACACGUGGGUGACCUGCCCCUUACUCUGGGAUAAGCCUGGGAAACUGGGUCUAAUACCGGAUAUGACAUGUUCCUGCAUGGGGAUGUGUGGAAAGUUUUUCGGUGGGGAGUGGCCGCGGCCUAUCAGCUUGUUGGUGGGGUGGAUGGCCUACCAAGGCUUCGACGGGUAGCCGGCC
rnacentral:rRNA from 1 species